rnacentral:rRNA from 1 species
GACGAACGCUGGCGGCGUGCCUAAUACAUGCAAGUCGAGCGAGACUCUACGGAGUCUAGCGGCGUACGGGUGAGUAACACGUGGGCAACCUGCCUGUAAGACUGGGAUAACACCGGGAAACCGGUGCUAAUACCGGAUAAUCCUUUUCCUCACAUUAGGAAAAGCUGAAAGUCGGUUUCGGCUGACACUUACAGAUGGGCCCGCGGCGCAUUAGCUAGUUGGUGAGGUAACGGCUCACCAAGGCGACGAUGCGUAGCCGACCUGAGAGGGUGAUCGGCCACACUGGGACUGAGACACGGCCCAGACUCCUACGGGAGGCAGCAGUAGGGAGUCUUCCACAAUGGACGAAAGUCUGAUGGAGCAACGCCGCGUGAGCGAUGAAGGCCUUCGGGUCGUAAAGCUCUGUUGUUAGGGAAGAACAAGUACCGGAGUAACUGCCGGUACCUUGACGGUACCUAACCAGAAAGCCACGGCUAACUACGUGCCAGCAGCCGCAGUAAGAC